GACGAACGCUGGCGGCGUGCUUAACACAUGCAAGUCGAGCGAGAAACUUCGGUUUCUAGCGGCGGACGGGUGAGUAACACGUGGGCAACCUGCCUCACAAUGGGGGAUAGCCUUCCGAAAGGAAGAUUAAUACCGCAUCACACAAAGGAAACGCAUGUUUCUUUUGCCAAAGAAUUUCGUUGUGAGAUGGGCCCGCGGCGCAUUAGCUUGUUGGUGAGGUAACGGCUCACCAAGGCGACGAUGCGUAGCCGACCUGAGAGGGUGAUCGGCCACAUUGGAACUGAGACACGGUCCAGACUCCUACGGGAGGCAGCAGUGGGGAAUAUUGCACAAUGGAGGAAACUCUGAUGCAGCAACGCCGCGUGAGUGAUGAAGGUCUUCGGAUUGUAAAGCUCUGUCUUCUGGGACGAUAAUGACGGUACCAGAGGAGGAAGCCACGGCUAACUACGUGCCAGCCGCCGCAGUAA
rnacentral:rRNA from 1 species